rnacentral:rRNA from 1 species
GACGAACGCUGGCGGCGUGCUUAACACAUGCAAGUCGAACGGAAAGGCUCCAGCUUGCUGGAGUACUCGAGUGGCGAACGGGUGAGUAACACGUGGGUAAUCUGCCCUGCACUCUGGGAUAAGCCUGGGAAACUGGGUCUAAUACUGGAUAUGACCUUUCUCCUUAUGGGGUUUGGUGGAAAGUUUUUCGGUGUAGGAUGGGCCCGCGGCCUAUCAGCUUGUUGGUGGGGUGAUGGCCUACCAAGGCGACGACGGGUAGCCGGCCUGAGAGGGUGAUCGGCCACAUUGGGACUGAGAUACGGCCCAGACUCCUACGGGAGGCAGCAGUGGGGAAUAUUGCACAAUGGGCGGAAGCCUGAUGCAGCGACGCCGCGUGAGGGAUGACGGCCUUCGGGUUGUAAACCUCUUUCGGCAGGGACGAAGCGUAAGUGACGGUACCUGCAGAAGAAGCACCGGCUAACUAUGUG